rnacentral:rRNA from 1 species
UACGGAGGGGGCUAGCGUUAUUCGGAAUUAUUGGGCGUAAAGGGCGCGUAGGCGGCCCGGUAAGUCAAAGGUGAAAUCCCUCGGCUCAACUGAGGAACUGCCUUUGAAACUGUCGGGCUUGAGGCCGGGAGGGGGUAGCGGAAUUCCCAGUGUAGCGGUGAAAUGCGUAGAUAUCUGGAGGAACACCGGUGGCGAAGGCGGCAUCCUGGACUACUACUGACGCUGAGGAGCGAAAGCCAGGGGAGCAAACGGG